rnacentral:rRNA from 1 species
GAUCAGUGGCUCAGGANACGCUGGCGGCGUGCCUAACACAUGCAAGUCGAACGGAAGCAAGAUUUCGGUUUUGCUUUAGUGGCGAACGGGUGAGUAACGCGUGAGAAACCUGCCUUUCAGUGGGGGACAACAGUUGGAAACGACUGCUAAUACCGCAUAAUGUUAUUUGGGGGGCAUCCCUGAAUAACCAAAGCUUUAUGUGCUGAAAGAUGGUCUCGCGUCUGAUUAGCUAGAUGGCGGGGUAACGGCCCACCAUGGCGACGAUCAGUAGCCGGUCUGAGAGGAUGAACGGCCACAUUGGGACUGAGAUACGGCCCAGACUCCUACGGGAGGCAGCAGUGGGGAAUAUUGGGCAAUGGGGGAAACCCUGACCCAGCAACGCCGCGUGAAGGAAGAAGGCCUUCGGGUUGUAAACUUCUUUUACCAGGGACGAACACAAUGACGGUACCUGGAGAAAAAGCAACGGCUAACUACGUG